rnacentral:lncRNA from 1 species
UAUAUAUGGGGAUGGGUCAUUUUGGUUUGGGUAAAAUUUAAGAAAAAUUUCAAAAACCACUCAUGUGAUUUCGUAUUUAUUUAUUUUAGCAUUCUGUAGUUUAAAGUGUAUCAAUUUAGCAUCCAAUAAUUUUAUUUUUCUCUUUUUAUUAUCCCAUCCACUAAUCUUUUUUUCGUUAAAUAAAGUUAAAACUAAAAGGUGCUAAAGUGAAUAUUCGAUAAAUCUAGGAGGGUAUCUGAAGUUUUUUGUACAUAAUUUAUCGAAAUAUUAACGAAGAAAUUAACUGACGAAAAGAGAAAAAUAAAACCACAAGAUUGAUACAAUUUAAACUACAAAGUAUUAAAGUGAGAAAGUGCGAAACCAUAGGGAUGGUAUUUGAAGUUUAUUCUAAAAUUUAUUAGAAGUUUUUGAAUGGUCAAUAUCCUUACCCAUAUCCAUGCACGAGUGGGUGAAUAAAAGGGUGGUAAUUCAGCUUGUUGUUCGCGAGCCAGCUAUUUUUCGGCUCAUUUAUUACGUUUAAUAAACGAGCCAAAUACGAGCUGGGGUCAGCUCGCUCGUGUUCGGCUCGAUAACAGCUAGAAUACAUAUAUUUUAUAUUUAUAUAAUUUAUAUAAUUUAUAUUUUUAUAUAUAAAUAAAUAAUUAUAUAUAAUAUAUAUUUUUAUUAUUUAAUUUUUAGCAAAAUAAAAAUAUAAAUGCGAGCUUAAUUAUAAAAAGACUCAUUCAUAUGUAAAAUUUCAACUAUUAAAUC